UACGAAGGGGGCGAGCGUUGUUCGGAAUUACUGGGCGUAAAGGGCGCGCAGGCGGCUCUGUAAGUCAGAUGUGAAAGCCCCGGGCUUAACCUGGGAAUUGCAUUUGAUACUCUGGAGCUUGAGUACGGGAGAGGAUAGUGGAAUUCCCAGUGUAGAGGUGAAAUUCGUAGAUAUUGGGAAGAACACCGGUGGCGAAGGCGGCUAUCUGGACCGUAACUGACGCUGAGGAGCGAAAGCGUGGGGAGCGAACAGG
rnacentral:rRNA from 1 species